AUCCAUCGAGUAUGAUGCAACCGAAGAACAAGUUUUUUUUGUUGUUGUUGUAAAUGUUAAAUACCGAAGAAAAAGUUUUAGUAACGUCCGGCGUCGUGAUGCCCGGAGAUAACUCUUAUCCACCUAAAAAACAUAAAUAUUUCCGCCACAAAUUUCCAAAUACUCUUACAACUUAUGUUUAGCUCAGACCAAACCAAACCAGGAGAUUUUGACACGUCCUUCAUAUCACAUGCACACCAUCCUCCUCCCACCAAAAAAUCAUAUACAAUUUGUGAUCUUCACAUAUAAAUAAGCAAUCAAUUUUAACAAAGGUGGUCGUGUUACAUCGAGU